CUUUUUGUGCGUUCCUUUGCCACAGUCUUGUCUACAGCCAUUGCCACGCUUUGUACUUUUUGACCCACGGGAGAUUAUUUGUUUGUAAACCCUUUGUCAGUUGACGUCACGCCCAGCUGCCGAUUCAGUUGACUCUUCCCACUUUGGCACUUGGCGAUCACUCCAGCAGCACUGAGAGCGACUCAGCCAGGCUACCUCGAGCUGGGUCGCGGGGGCAGCAGCCUAAGCAAAGAAGCCCAGACUUUCCUCUCGACAGCUACUUCGUCCAGUUCCUCCCGAGAGAUGACAAGGCGUUCCAAGGCCAGCUGGGAGACAUAGUCCCUCCCCCGGCCAGACACGCCCGGAGCACCUCGUCUGGCUACUCCCAAUGUGGAGGCGCUGCAGACACGGUGGUGUCAACGCCUCCAAAUGUGCUAAUGAAAACUACAAUGAAGAUGCACAAUACAAUCAAACAGCUGGU